rnacentral:rRNA from 1 species
AGAGAGAGACAUGCGCGCAUAUCAAUAAGCGGAGGAAAAGAAACUAACUAGGAUUCCCUUAGUAACGGCGAGUGAAGCGGGAAGAGCUCAAAUUUGAAAUCUUCAAGGUUCUACCUUGACGAAUUGUAGUUUAUAGAAGUGUUUUCUGUUAGUGGAGUGGCAAAAGUUCUUUGGAAUAGGACAUCAUAGAGGGUGAGAAUCCCGUAUUUGGUCAUUCCUCCUAGCGUUGUGAUACACUUUCAACGAGUCGGAUUGUUUGGGAAUGCAGUCCAAAAUGGGUGGUAAAUUUCAUCUAAAGCUAAAUAUUGGCGAGAGACCGAUAGCGAACAAGUACCGUGAGGGAAAGAUGAAAAGAACUUUGAAAAGAGAGUUAAACAGUACGUGAAAUUGUCAAAAGGGAAGCGUUUGACACCAGUGUUGUUUUCCGAAAAUCAAUUACGAAUGUUUUAUUUUUGAGGAGUUAUGACUUCAUCGGCUUGCUCCUUUCUUUAUGAAACUUUCUUAAUGCACUUUUCGGUUAACAAGUCAACAUCAAUUUCUUUUGUUGUAAAAGGGUAUGAGGAAGGUGGCUUUCUUUUCGGAGAAAGUGUUUAUAGCCUUGUGCCUCUGCAAUCGGAGAGAUUGAGGUCUGCAGCGUAGAUCCUUCGGGGUUAGAUACGUUUGUGCUGAGUUAUAGCUUUUCAUAGACAACUUGUUGACUAUGUUUAGUCUUGUAGCUUACUCGCUUAUGCUAUUUUACCUACGCUUAGGAUGUUGAUAGUCACAGCGUGUAC